rnacentral:rRNA from 1 species
UACGUAGGGUGCAAGCGUUAAUCGGAAUUACUGGGCGUAAAGCGUGCGCAGGCGGUUGUGCAAGCCAGAUGUGAAAUCCCCGGGCUUAACCUGGGAACUGCAUUUGUGACUGCACGGCUAGAGUACGGCAGAGGGGGAUGGAAUUCCGCGUGUAGCAGUGAAAUGCGUAGAUAUGCGGAGGAACAUCAAUGGCGAAGGCAGUCCCCUGGGCCUGUACUGACGCUCAUGCACGAAAGCGUGGGGAGCAAACAGG